UACGUGUGCGUGUGUGCGUGUUUGUGUCUGUGUGGAAUGCUUUGCUGUGGUAUUACAAGCCUCCGAGGCCUACUCUUCCAAACGGGCAUCAAACCCUCCUUUGCUUGCCGUGCGCUGUUCUCGUGAAGAACGUGCCCAGCACACACAGCACACACACACACACAGAGCACAACAGUGGGGAGCUGUCACUUUGCUCUAUUCAUGGGCCGAUGACAUUUCGAACGGUUUCGAUUGCGAUUGUCAGCAGCAGCGGCAGCAACGGUGAACGGUUUGUGGGUUGCUGCUGUGUUUUUACGCACAGCUAGGGCGCACACAGCGUUAGAAGCACGCAUGCACACACAAAACCCAUGUUUCUCUGCCUCUGUGUGCCGAGUGCGCGAUGAUGGCCAUGAGAUGUGUUUUUGACAAGAUCGCGGUUCCCUAGGAUAGGAGGCCGACCCCCACUCCCCAUAUUCUAUAGGACUUCCAUCCCCCACCGGGCACGCCUAACACAGACCAAUCACACACAAAAAGUAAACCUCCAACAACAACAACAACAACAACAACAACAGCAGCAAAACUUCAAUGGCCGACCACAUUUGCAUUUUCGCUGCUCCUGCUAUCAGCGAAGGGGCUCGCCACCCUCCGCACGAUGAAUCGAAGUCACACUUUCGUGACGGUGUAUUGGCCGCCGCACGGGAAAACAAUAGAGAACAGAGACAUGGAUGGAGACCCCCAGUUGGGAGGGGAGUGAACACUUUGAUACCCACCCACCCACCCACAACCCGGG